rnacentral:rRNA from 1 species
AACGAACGCUGGCGGCAUGCCUAACACAUGCAAGUCGAACGAGACCUUCGGGUCUAGUGGCGCACGGGUGCGUAACGCGUGGGAAUCUGCCCUUCGGUUGGGAAUAACUGAGAGAAAUUUCAGCUAAUACCUUAUAAUGUCUUCGGACCAAAGAUUUAUCGCCGAGGGAUGAGCCCGCGUAGGAUUAGGUAGUUGGUGGGGUAAUGGCCUACCAAGCCGACGAUCCUUAGCUGGUCUGAGAGGAUGAUCAGCCACACUGGGACUGAGACACGGCCCAGACUCCUACGGGAGGCAGCAGUGGGGAAUAUUGGACAAUGGGCGAAAGCCUGAUCCAGCGAUGCCGCGUGAGUGAUGAAGGCCUUAGGGUUGUAAAGCUCUUUUACCCGGGAUGAUAAUGACAGCACCGGGAGAAUAAGCUCCGGCUAACUCCGUGCCAGCAGCCGCCGUAA